rnacentral:rRNA from 1 species
CAAUAGCGUAUAUUAAAGCUGUUGCGGUUAAAAAGCUCGUAGUUGGAUUUCUGUCAAGGACAACUGGUCCGCCCUCCGGGUGAGCACAUAGUUUGGUCUUGACAUCUUGCCGGAAGCUGUUGCUGCACUUGGCUGUGUGGCGCAGUGUUCAGCACUUUCACUUUGAGGAAAUUGGAGUGUUUCAAGCAGGCACAUGCCUUUGGACACAGUAGCAUGGAAUAAUUAGAUUGGGCUUUUGCUCCAAUUUGUCGGUUUCUGGAGCUGAGGUGAGUAUUAAUGGGGAUUGUUGGGGGCAUCCGAAUUUAGCCGUCAGAGGUGAAAUUCUUGGAUCUGCUAAAGACGGACAACUGCGAAAGCGUUUGCCCAGGAUGUUUUCAUUGA